AUAUACACGUUUCUUCCUAGGUUAAGGGUCUAAUUGUAAAAUAAUUGUAUUUGAUUGAAUAACUAGCCUAAUCUAACUCUCGUGGUCAUACACCUGGACUCUUCAUCAUCAUCAUCAACACUUUGAAUUACCUAGGAAUAUUACUGUAGCAACUGGUUGCUAAGGGAACGAGACACCACCAUUAUCCUCUUGUUGUGUGACUGAGAGGCGGGAUUGGAAAAUUGCACGAGGAGGGGUGGGAAGCGGAGACGGAGCGUGGUUGAAAUUUCACGAAAUGGAUAAGAGGCAGACAAAGUUUGACACGUUUAUGUUUUCAGUGGUUGGCUGACACGAAUGAACGAGUAAACGCUGCUUUUAGCCUAGUGGAAGUAUCACAAAUGAAUACCUCCGUAUUAUUUAUUCACUGCACUGAAUCUCCACGAGGGCACAAGUCCGCCUGACAAUUUUCGCGUAGAGAGGCAGCGCGGGAGAGCUCACUUGUAGCCUGGCAGCCGCCAGCAGCGUCACUAUCCCUCUACCUAACACACUGAGUUGACCUCCUCAGUGCUUGUGUGACGGGUGGUGAGGGUGAAGAAGGAGGGAGAGUUUAUCAGUGACCCAACUUCGCCCAAGAUGGAUGAGGAUUUCCUGAGCAGUACCCUGACUGCCUCUGAAUCAGACCUGUCCUCAACCUCUUUUUUGACAUUGGAGGCGAAGGCGGCCUUCAUCUUUGUCCUCAUCCUUUUCCUCGUCUUGGGCCUCCUGAUCAUACGCUGCUUCCGUAUCUUGCUCGACCCUUACCGCAGCAUGCCCUCCUCUACCUGGACUGACUACAUGGAGAAGGACACCUUUGAUUACCGUAUUGCCUGAGGGGCCUUCCUUAUCAAAGGCUGCUGUACUGCAUAGCCUGAGGUGCUGGUGACCAGAGCUGCUGCAUUGCCAAAGAAGCAUCAAAGAUAACUAUCUAAGAGAGUUUCCACGUGUCCGGAUUCAGCACAUUGAAACACAUCUUCUGAUUCCUGAGUGUUAUCUUGAGAUACGGGCUGACUAUAGAAUUGCCUGAGGACUCCUACUCUGAGGCAGGAACAAUGGCAGUGGGAGGUUCUUCACCUUGGCCACAAGGGGAUCACAGUGUUUCCUGAGCCCUUAAACAUUUCCGAGAUACUGCAAUGCCAGAGGGGUCCUUCACUGGUGCUACGAGGGAAGCUGGUGUUUUGCCCAAGGGACAGGCUAUAGUAACUGAAAUAGAAAAGCUGUUUUUCUCUUGAAGGAACAGGGGGAGCCUGUCCUCUCCUGCAGCAAGUGAUAUAACUACUCCAGUGACUGAGCACCGCUUGAUCACAUCACCUCCUAAACCUGACCUGGCAUGCUAAGAAGACCACCUUUUUGUACACAGCCCUUUCUGAUUUGUGUUCUAAAAUGUUGGUUGUUGGAAAGAUCUUUAAAGCUGUAAUUCUAUGGCCUAGGUUUUAGGUUCCUGUACUUAGUCAGUCAGUAACACACACACACACACACAGUCAUACAGGCCCCCUGUACAAACACACUACACAAACUAUUCUCCUACACAAAGACACCCACACAGACUCGCAACACUCAUGCACUCUAUGCUCAUAUAUACUCAGAAACAUGCAAAGACCUACAAUGACCAUCACACUUUGUCCAAUAUCACACCCCAGGAGCCUUUCGACAAACGUGGGUUUAUUCUGGCCACGUCAGGGGAACGAGUGCAGCACUUUCCUCUCUGUGACAAGGGGUGGGAGUGUGUGUCGUUAUCUCUCAAAUUAGCCUGCAGUUGUCCUUUUUCUGGGAGUGCAUUUCAGUUCAGCCACUGACGAUGAGUCUUAUUACUCUGGCUGUCACUGACAGUGCAGUGACAAGCCUGAAGAAAAUGAUUUCCACGUCAUCUCAACAAAAUAAUUAAAUGUGAUGACGUUGAAUCAGAGUGGAAAACUGGUUGAAUUUGCAAACAGUAAUCAAUGUGAGGGAAUUUCUGCCUAAAUCCAAUGACAGUGAUUUUUUGUUGUUGAUUUCACGUUGAAUUCACAUUAGUUGACAACUCCACCAAAUGUAAAUCAAAACUAGACGUUGAACUGACGUCUGUGCCCAGUGGGGCAACAAUUCACUGAAACACGGCUAUUACUACUACACAGAUGUAGAAUCUUAAUUUGAUCAGUCUUUUGUUGCUGAGAAUUGACAAGCACAGCAGGAAAUGCAACCAUUUAGUGUAUUUGAGGUUUAAAAAGGCUUCUAUAAUUUAUUGUUUCCAUUUAGAAAUUUCUAACUUGAUUUAUUAAAAAAAAAAGUUUUUAUCAACCUUUACAAAAAUGUCCAUUAAUUAUAAUCCACAUAAUAAUUCACAAUGUUCUGUUGCUGGAGGAUGAUUUUCCUGCUGUAGCAAACUGACUAAAAUUAAGAUCCUACAUAUGUAGCACAAGGCUCCUGAAAGUUCUGAAUCCUAACUUGAAAUACAUUUGCGUAACUCAUAGUUUCUGAACUGGGGACCUAUCUCAAUCGACUGAGAGUCAUGUAACCAGGUGGCAUUAUUGAUGCUGUAUACCGGCACAGAUGUUCACCGAAUGCAGACUUUCUCUGUUUCUAAUCCCUUUAAUGCCGAUUUUCACCGCUCUUAGUCUGUCUCCUCCUCUUUGUUAGCUCUUUGCCUUACAUAAAGCUUGUUUACAUUUGACAAACUGGUGGUGGAACAGCCUGGGAGCCUAUAGCGUCAUAAGACAUGUAUUACCCUUUAAGAUAGUUGCCCUAUUCUCUGAUGAAAGUUCCUGUUAUGAUGAGCUGCUGCUCUACCUGCAAAGAGACUCGGAUGAUCUGUGUUGUUUGGUAAACUGGAAAUGCGUGUUACUGUAUGUGAUUAAAUUGGGAUUUUUUUUUUUUGCAGAUCCCAAACCUUAGAACAUGUUUGCUCCUCCUUUGAUGUUCUAGUCCAGGGAUGGGCAACUUUGAUGUGGGUGGGAGCCACCAUAAAUCUGAAGUCAUUAUGAGGGGCUGCAGUGGCUCACGGGUCUGCAUACCCACAUCCAUAACCGCACAUGCAGUCAGAGACAGCCCUAGACUUUUGGGGACCCUGAGCAGAAUGUUUUUGUUUUUUGGGGGGAAAUUCAUCCGCAGGCGUGCAAAAGGACCAGUUUCCCAUCCCUGCUCUAGACUGGCCGUUAGGCAUGUCUCUGGAUUACAGCAUCUGCUAAAUGACUAAAAUGUAAAUGUUAACCAAGGGGUGAUUUUAUUAUUGAAUUAGAUCAUAAGUCAUUUGACAUAAAUAUCCACACAUGUUUUAUUAGACAGCGAUACUAUGAUCUGACAUAUUGACCACAUACAUAUCUGUUUCAUUGGAAUGUCAAGAGGAGAGACGCAACUCAGUUGACUGUAUUUUCCAAAAGGUUGUGGCAUUUUUUUGUUUUUGCAUAUGUCUGUAUACAAGUCCUUAUUGUUGUACUCACUCAUUGGCUUACUGCAUUGGUGACAUCAAUUCACAUUGACAACAAACAGGGCAGUGCAUAAAAUCUUUUUUUGUUUCAGCAUUCAGUUGAACAUGGGUAACUUCAAAAACAUGACUUAAGUGAGAAUAUUGUGUUUACAUUAGAAGUUUAUUCCACUGCAACUCUGUUACUACAUACACCGUCUCAAUGCAAAUGCUUUGAUACAGAUUUGGGAUGGUGGUCAAAUUACAUUAGAAACAAGCCUAUAUUCCAUUUUAGACUUUAUGUACAGAGUUCAAAUUACGACGUGUUGAAUUACUUGACAUGACUAGAAAAGAAAGUAUCUUUACAAUAUAUUUUGUUGUUAUUGAGAGUUAUUCUAAUAGGAUAAACCUGCUGUUUACGUACAAUGGUCCAGCCUACUGUUUAAUCUGUGAUCUCUUUUACAAGUGUUUUUUUUUCUUCUUGUUUAGUAAAUAAAUAAAGCUUCUUCUUGAAUUGAGUAAGA